AAGCCAAUCUAACGGUGUGCAUUAAUAAUUGUAACGAGCUUCCAAAUCUUAAACAAAUGUGGUGUAAAAUCGAUUGUUAUAAAGAAGCUACUUUUGGAGGACAUACACGCGUAUCGAAGAAAGAUUGUUACGCUGUUUGCGAUACCAUACCAACGUCCUACAGAGAUGAUUGCAAAUAUUCAUGCGAGCGCAUAUUUUCCUAUUAACUUGCCGAUGGGCACACUGGAACGCUGCUAUUGGCAUCAACAACAAGACAUCCCGAGUUAUACAAGACACCCCUCAAGUCCGCCAUUAUCCGUGUCCAAUUCGGUCGGACCCAAGCAUUCUCUUCGCAUUUGAUAUUCAUUUCCAUUCGACACAGCCAAUCCUGCCAGGUUCUAACAGAAUAAGCAUUUUAUUCCAGCUGUAAUGUGAGAUAAGCUGACGACAUAUCGCCUGAUAUUUGCGCUUCUUAAUAUUCCAUCCGGUAUAAUGAAAUCUGAAAGCUCCGACUCUAUCUGUCCAUGUGUAAUAGAACUCUUGUGAUGUUUUAUUUAUGAGCAGAAUAUUAUUGUUAUUACAUUCACGUAUGAAAAUUAUCGUGCUUGGAGUCUUAUUAGAAUAAUCCUUCGCUAUUGAUGUCAAAUUAGAGUAUAA